AAUCAACGCUGGCGGCGUGCCUCAGACAUGCAAGUCGAACGCGAAAUUUCCCCGCAAGGGGAGAAAGUAGAGUGGCGCACGGGUGAGUAACACGUAGGUAAUCUACCUUCGGAUGGGGAAUAACAAUCGGAAACGAUUGCUAAUACCGCAUAAUGCAGCGGCACCUAAUGGUGACAGUUGUUAAAGCGGGGGAUCGAAAGACCUCGCGUUUGAAGAGGAGCCUGCGGCGGAUUAGCUAGUUGGUAAGGUAAUGGCUUACCAAGGCAACGAUCCGUAACCGGCCUGAGAGGGCGGUCGGUCACACUGACACUGACAUACGGGUCAGACUCCUACGGGAGGCAGCAGUCGGGAAUUUUGGGCAAUGGGCGAAAGCCUGACCCAGCAACGCCGCGUGAAGGAUGAAAUCCCUCGGGAUGUAAACUUCGCAAGAACGGGAAGAAUAAGUAGGGAUAUACCCCUAUGAUGACGGUACCGUUUGUAAGCUCCGGCUAACUCCGUGCCAGCCGCCGCGGUAAC
rnacentral:rRNA from 1 species